ACCUAAGCGAUAAUUGGUGUUUGUUGAGUGUUCACACAGAUUGCUUGUUCAUAGAGCAGGCCGUUGACCCUGGUAGGUCAAUGAGUUCUUUAACAAUUUGGAAAGCUGAUAGUAGACAUCAAGACGACUCUUAGGAGUUGUAUUUGAUGAAUACAAAUUGAGUUCUCAAACACUUCAAUCAAGUGUUUUGGAAAUUCUUCAAGGCGAGUCCACUUCCUUAACCCGGAGGUGAGACAAGUAAACCUAAGCUGGUUGCAAUACAAUCCGAUGAAAACUCAUCCGGGUUGUAU
rnacentral:misc_RNA from 1 species